GGACGCGAUCAUACCAGCACUAAAGAACCAGAUCCCAUCAGAACUUUGAAGUUAAGUUUGCUUGGGCAAGAGUAUUACUAGGAUGGGUGACCUCCUGGGAAGUCCUCGUGUUGCAUUCC
rfam:Triticum aestivum genome assembly, contig: Triticum_aestivum_CS42_TGACv1_scaffold_396265_5AS